rnacentral:misc_RNA from 1 species
GAUGAAGAACGCAGCGAAAUGCGAAAAGUAAUGCGAAUUGCAGAAUUUCCGUGAGUCAUCGAAUCUUUGAACGCACAUUGCGCCCACUGGUAUUCCGGUGGGCAUGCCUGUUCGAGCGUCAUUAUCCUCCCUCAAACCUCGGGUUUGGUGUUGGACCCAAGUUGUGUGAACAACUGGUCUUAAAGACAAUGACGGCGUCCGUGGGACCCUCGGUGCAACGAGCUUUUAGGAGCACGCGUCGAGUUUCAAGGACCUUCCGGGCCGGUCUCCUUUACCAUUUUACAAGGUUGACCUCGGAUCAGGUAGGAAUACCCGCUGAACUUAAGCAUAUCAAUAAGCGGAGGA